ACGUCAUCAAGGUGAUAGACCUGCGCCAGGACACAGGAGAGUUUGUGGAGAGGGCCCAAGCGGAUCAUCCUUAUCCUCCCACCAAACUCAUGUGGCAUCCCUCUCCUUCCCUUUCUUCCUCCUCUGACCUCC
rnacentral:ribozyme from 1 species